rnacentral:lncRNA from 1 species
CUCAGGAUGACUAAUGUGCACCUCUGGGGGCAGAUGAAUUCUGGAAUCUUCUUUGUGGAAAAUGACUGCUUGAAGGAAAGCUCCAACCUCCUGCCCAAAGAUGCACAGGGCACAACUCUGAGUCCAAAUUUGUACCUAUUUGAAUUUGGAUUAGAAAACCUGAACCAGCUGGCGAGAGCUCAGAAUUUUCCUGUGACCUCAAGAGGGCAAGCAGCAGCUGUAACCUCACCUUUGCCUCCAGAUGGCAUUGUUGCCACAUCAUCGUUUCCUGCAGAGUAUGGAAUGAAACAGAGUUCUGAAAUACUGCCUGUUCUUUGCUAAGGAACUGAGCACGUCUGAAGAAGUCUUGACUCCCAUGGGCACCCCAGGCCUCCAAACAAACUUCUGGUCUUCCUUGUCAUCCUGCCUGUGUCAACUCCCCACCAUGAGUUUAGCAAACUUAACACAACCCUAUCCCUGAUGGUUCUUGCACAGCAGAUGAACGGGUGAACCAAGGAAACUGCACUCAAAGAAAUGUCUUGUAACGGCUCUAACUUUGGUUUGGCAUGUCACCUUUCUAACGAUAUCAGGCAGAGGAAAUAUUCCGUCAAAGCUGUGAGUGUGGAAGGAAACAGCCUGGAAGGGGUCCAAAGACACACUGUAUCUUAGCAACUUUGGAGGUUCAGAAAAGCCAACAUAUCAGUUUGGGAAGCCGGCGGGUGGAGGUUCCACCCUACCCAACCACGAAUCACUGAAAGACACUCCCCAAGGUGAAGACGCAACCGUCUUCAAGAUCUGCCACCUAAGCUGCUGAAAAAUCAAAUGGCUCUCAGUGAGCAGGGAAUGAUACUCUCAUGAAAACAAGAUAAAAUGACGACGUCAAAAACCCAAAACAGGAAACAAUCAUAACCAGGUGAAGUCAAACACAGAAUGACUGAAAAAUGCCUUGCAGGAGCAUGUUGGGCCAAUUAAAAAUGUUAAACAAGCACAAAAUUAACUUCCACAAGAAGCAAAGGACAGCAGGAAUGUGGGUACUGUCUAUUCCAAGACCUUCGCUUGAGGUCUAAGGGUCUGGGUUUUGGAGAAUCCUUCUUUCUUAUCUCUGGAGAAUGGGCGAACUCUAAAUAUCCACUAAAGAAGUCUCGGGUGUCACCUUGUAGCCCCUAACCUUGUCUUUUGUAGCAAAGUGGCAAGUAUAUAUUUGGGUCGGGGGAGGUCUAAAUGAACUUGACUGAUAUUGACCUACAUCCUCGACAUUCUCUUCCCAAUUUGAUGCUGAUUGUAAAUCCUAACAAUCUAAACCCUGGCCCCUCUAAGCACAAUUCUGAAGCCCAGUGUGGAUCCUAACCCUCAGAGAACAUGGUAUAUAAUUGCCAUAUAGGUAGAAAUCCAUUCCCUGCUCUAAAGCCCAACUAAGGUUAUCUGUAGUUCCACUGUUCCUUGCUCUUAGGCAAUUAAGUCAUCACAUAGGUGAAACAUGUCAUUUCAAUGGAAGAGAAGAAGUGGGUGCUUUUAAAGCCUUUUCUUUCCUCUAAGGACUUAUUGUCCUUAAAACAUCAUUCAGUGGCAAUUAAAAAUAGGAAA